UACGAAGGGGGCUAGCGUUGUUCGGAAUUACUGGGCGUAAAGCGCACGUAGGCGGGUCGUUAAGUCAGGGGUGAAAUCCCGGAGCUCAACUCCGGAACUGCCUUUGAUACUGGCGAUCUUGAGAUCGGAAGAGGUGAGUGGAAUUCCCAGUGUAGAGGUGAAAUUCGUAGAUAUUGGGGAAGAACACCAGUGGCGAAGGCGGCUCACUGGGUCGAUACUGACGCUGAGGUGCGAAAGCGUGGGGAGCAAACAGGAUAGAACUCUG
rnacentral:rRNA from 1 species